ensembl:miRNA Gm24627 predicted gene, 24627
CUGCCACUGGGUAUCCAUCAUCAUUUGCUGGGCAUCUGUUGAGUACAGCCAUGUCUGUUGGGCAUCUACAGUCUUCCACCAGGCAUUGUGGUCUCUGCUGACUCUCUGUGAUUUCACCAUCAUCACCAUCCAUGAGAA